rnacentral:rRNA from 1 species
GCGUACCUUUUGUAUAAUGGGUCAGCGACUUAUAUUCUGUAGCAAGGUUAACCGAAUAGGGGAGCCGGAGGGAAACCGAGUCUUAAUUGGGCGUUAAGUUGCAGGGUAUAGACCCGAAACCCGGUGAUCUAGCCAUGGGCAGGUUGAAGGUUGGGUAACACUAACUGGAGGACCGAACCGACUAAUGUUGAAAAAUUAGCGGAUGACCUGUGGCUGGGGGUGAAAGGCCAAUCAAACCGGGAGAUAGCUGGUUCUCCCCGAAAGCUAUUUAGGUAGCGCCUCGUGAAUUCAUCUCCGGGGGUAGAGCACUGUUUCGGCUAGGGGGCCAUCCCGGCUUACCAACCCGAUGCAAACUGCGAAUACCGGAGAAUGUUAUCACGGGAGACACACGGCGGGUGCUAACGUCCGUCGUGAAGAGGGAAACAACCCAGACCGCCAGCUAAGGUCCCAAAGUCAUGGUUAAGUGGGAAACGAUGUGGGAAGGCCCAGACAGCCAGGAUGUUGGCUUAGAAGCAGCCAUCAUUUAAAGAAAGCGUAAUAGCUCACUGGUCGAGUCGGCCUGCGCGGAAGAUGUAACGGGGCUAAACCAUGCACCGAAGCUGCGGCAGCGAACGUAUCACCCAAGACAACUUUACGGAGUUGACGAUUGACGGAGCGAAGCGACGUCAAAGCGUUCAUUAAAGUCGAGUUGGCUUAGGGAUACGUUCGUUGGGUAGGGGAGCGUUCUGUAAGCCUGUGAAGGUGUGUCGUGAGGCAUGCUGGAGGUAUCAGAAGUGCGAAUGCUGACAUAAGUAACGAUAAAGCGGGUGAAAAGCCCGCUCGCCGGAAGACCAAGGGUUCCUGUCCAACGUUAAUCGGGGCAGGGUGAGUCGACCCCUAAGGCGAGGCCGAAAGGCGUAGUCGAUGGGAAACGGGUUAAUAUUCCCGUACUUGGUGUUACUGCGAAGGGGGGACGGAGAAGGCUAUGUUGGCCGGGCGACGGUUGUCCCGGUUUAAGCGUGUAGGUGUGUGUUCCAGGUAAAUCCGGUUCACUUUAACACUGAGGCGUGACGACGAGGCACUACGGUGCUGAAG